GGGCCCGCACAAGCGGUGGAGCAUGUGGUUUAAUUCGAAGAUACGCGCAGAACCUUACCAACACUUGACAUGUUCGUCGCGACUUUAAGAGAUUAAAGUUUUCGGUUCGGCCGGACGAAACACAGGUGCUGCAUGGCUGUCGUCAGCUCGUGUCGUGAGAUGUUGGGUUAAGUCCCGCAACGAGCGCAACCCUCACUUUUAGUUGCCAUCAUUAAGUUGGGCACUCUGAAAGAACUGCCAGUGAUAAGCUGGAGGAAGGUGGGGAUGACGUCAAGUCCUCAUGGCCCUUACGUGUUGGGCUACACACGUGCUACAAUGGUAUCUACAACAGGAAGCAAAACGGCGACGUUAAGCAAAUCCUCAAAAGAUACCUCAGUUCGGAUUGCACUCUGCAACUCGAGUGCAUGAAGCUGGAAUUACUAGUAAUCG
rnacentral:rRNA from 1 species